rnacentral:rRNA from 1 species
UACGUAGGUGACAAGCGUUGUCCGGAUUUACUGGGCGUAAAGAGCUCGUAGGCGGCUUGUCGCGUCGACUGUGAAAACCCGCGGCUCAACCGCGGGCCUGCAGCCGAUACGGGCAGGCUAGAGUUCGGUAGGGGAGACUGGAAUUCUUGGUGUAGCGGUGAAAUGCGUAGAUAUCAAGAGGAACACCUGAGGUGAAGACGGGUUGCUGGGCUGACACUGACGCUGAGGCGCGAAAGCCAGGGGAGCAAACGGG